rnacentral:rRNA from 1 species
AAAUUGAAGAGUUUGAUCAUGGCUCAGAUUGAACGCUGGCGGCAGGCCUAACACAUGCAAGUCGAACGGUAACAGGAAGCAGCUUGCUGCUUUGCUGACGAGUGGCGGACGGGUGAGUAAUGUCUGGGAAACUGCCUGAUGGAGGGGGAUAACUACUGGAAACGGUGGCUAAUACCGCAUAACGUCGCAAGACCAAAGAGGGGGACCUUCGGGCCUCUUGCCAUCAGAUGUGCCCAGAUGGGAUUAGCUAGUUGGUGAGGUAACGGCUCACCAAGGCGACGAUCCCUAGCUGGUCUGAGAGGAUGACCAGCCACACUGGAACUGAGACACGGUCCAGACUCCUACGGGAGGCAGCAGUGGGGAAUAUUGCACAAUGGGCGCAAGCCUGAUGCAGCCAUGCCGCGUGUAUGAAGAAGG